CUCGAUGAGAUCUUUGUAAUGGUGUACUCCAUUCUGUGAUUGGUGCUUGUACCAGGGCAGGCGCCCCGGCCCCGGGUCCGUCUCGGCUCCGCUUCGGUCGAGUUGCUUCUAGAGUCUUCCUGAUUAUGGAAAAUUACCGCACACAUUAAUUCUCUAUGUAAACCCGAUGUGUGGGCCUUUCCUUCAUAUUUCCUGAUAACCCCC
rnacentral:lncRNA from 1 species